ACGACGAUGGAUAGGGGUUCUGAGAGGAAGGUCCCCCACAUUGGAACUGAGACACGGUCCAAACUCCUACGGGAGGCAGCAGUGAGGAAUAUUGGUCAAUGGACGAGAGUCUGAACCAGCCAAGUAGCGUGAAGGAUGACUGCCCUAUGGGUUGUAAACUUCUUUUAUAUGGGAAUAAAAUGUUCCACGUGUGGGAUUUUGUAUGUACCAUAUGAAUAAGGAUCGGCUAACUCCGUGCCAGCAGCCGCGGUAAUACGGAGGAUCCGAGCGUUAUCCGGAUUUAUUGGGUUUAAAGGGAGCGUAGGUGGAUUGUUAAGUCAGUUGUGAAAGUUUGCGGCUCAACCGUAAAAUUGCAGUUGAAACUGGCAGUCUUGAGUACAGUAGAGGUGGGCGGAAUUCGUGGUGUAGCGGUGAAAUGCUUAGAUAUCACGAAGAACUCCGAUUGCGAAGGCAGCUCACUGGACUGCAACUGACACUGAGGCUCGAAAGUGUGGGUAUCAAACAGGAUUAGAUACCCUGGUAGUCCACACAGUAAACGAUGAAUACUCGCUGUUUGCGAUAUACAGCAA
rnacentral:rRNA from 1 species